UGAGGAACUUGCCCAUGAGCGGGGGACAACAUUCGGAAACGGAUGCUAAUACCCCAUAGGUGGAUUGGUCGCAUGACGAAUUCAUUAAAGGUGGCUUUGCUACCACUCAUGGAUAGCCUCGCGGCGUAUUAGCUAGCUGGUAAGGUAAUGGCUUACCAAGGCAGUGAUACGUAGCCGACUUGAGAGGGUGAUCGGCCACACUGGGACUGAGACACGGCCCAG
rnacentral:rRNA from 1 species